ACGAACGCUGGCGGCGUGCUUAACACAUGCAAGUCGAACGGAAAGGCCCUGCUUGCAGGGUACUCGAGUGGCGAACGGGUGAGUAACACGUGGGUGAUCUGCCCUGCACUUCGGGAUAAGCCUGGGAAACUGGGUCUAAUACCGGAUAGGAGCCAUUUUUAGUGUGAUGGUUGGAAAGUUUUUUCGGUGUAGGAUGAGCUCGCGGCCUAUCAGCUUGUUGGUGGGGUAAUGGCCUACCAAGGCGGCGACGGGUAGCCGGCCUGAGAGGGUGGACGGCCACAUUGGGACUGAGAUACGGCCCAGACUCCUACGGGAGGCAGCAGUGGGGAAUAUUGCACAAUAGGCGCAAGCCUGAUGCAGCGACGCCGCGUGGGGGAUGACGGCCUUCGGGUUGUAAACUCCUUUCGCUAGGGACGAAGCUUUUUGUGACGGUACCUAGAGAAGAAGCACCGGCUAACUACGUG
rnacentral:rRNA from 1 species